ensembl:ncRNA C10G11.16 ncRNA
AUUUGUAGAAUAUGCAAGAAUACUCCAUCCAGUUAUUUUCUUCGAAGACGCAAAUGAACAAGAAUCAAAAUAUAAUUCCAUUGGACAUGGAACAACUUCAAGAUUUUUAAGCUUCAAAUACUCUUGAGAAUCGUCUUGCAACAUUACAGG